rnacentral:rRNA from 1 species
GACGAACGCUGGCGGCGUGCUUAACACAUGCAAGUCGAACGAAGAGCGAUGGAAGCUUGCUUCUAUCAAUCUUAGUGGCGCACGGGUGAGUAACGCGUAAUCAACCUGCCCUUCAGAGGGGGACAACAGUUGGAAACGACUGCUAAUACCGCAUACGAUCUAAUCUCGGCAUCGAGGAUAGAUGAAAGGUGGCCUCUACAUGUAAGCUAUCACUGAAGGAGGGGAUUGCGUCUGAUUAGCUAGUUGGAGGGGUAACGGCCCACCAAGGCGAUGAUCAGUAGCCGGUCUGAGAGGAAGAACGGCCACAUUGGGACUGAGACACGGCCCAGGCUCCUACGGGAGGCAGCAGUGGGGAAUCUUCCGCAAUGGACGAAAGUCUGACGGAGCAACGCCGCGUGAGUGAUGACGGCCUUCGGGUUGUAAAGCUCUGUUAAUCGGGACGAAAGGCCUUCUUGCGAAUAGUGAGAAGGAUUGACGGUACCGGAAUAGAAAGCCACGGCUAACUACGUG